rnacentral:rRNA from 1 species
GUGGGGAAUAUUGGACAAUGGGCGCAAGCCUGAUCCAGCCAUGCCGCGUGAGUGAUGAAGGCCUUAGGGUUGUAAAGCUCUUUCAGUGGGGACGAUAAUGACGGUACCCACAGAAGAAGCCCCGGCUAACUUCGUGCCAGCAGCCGCGGUAAUACGAAGGGGGCUAGCGUUGUUCGGAUUUACUGGGCGUAAAGCGCACGUAGGCGGAUCGUUAAGUCGGGGGUGAAAUCCUGGAGCUCAACUCCAGAACUGCCUUCGAUACUGGCGAUCUUGAGUCCGGAAGAGGUGAGUGGAACUCCUAGUGUAGAGGUGGAAUUCGUAGAUAUUAGGAAGAACACCAGUGGCGAAGGCGGCUCACUGGUCCGGUACUGACGCCGAGGUGCGAAAGCGUGGGGAGCAAACAGGAUUAGAAACCCCGGUAGUCC